rnacentral:rRNA from 1 species
GACGAACGCUGGCGGCGUGCCUAAUACAUGCAAGUCGUACGCUUCUUUUUCCACCGGAGCUUGCUCCACCGGAAAAAGAAGAGUGGCGAACGGGUGAGUAACACGUGGGUAACCUGCCCAUCAGAAGGGGAUAACACUUGGAAACAGGUGCUAAUACCGUAUAACAAUCGAAACCGCAUGGUUUUGAUUUGAAAGGCGCUUUCGGGUGUCGCUGAUGGAUGGACCCGCGGUGCAUUAGCUAGUUGGUGAGGUAACGGCUCACCAAGGCCACGAUGCAUAGCCGACCUGAGAGGGUGAUCGGCCACAUUGGGACUGAGACACGGCCCAAACUCCUACGGGAGGCAGCAGUAGGGAAUCUUCGGCAAUGGACGAAAGUCUGACCGAGCAACGCCGCGUGAGUGAAGAAGGUUUUCGGAUCGUAAAACUCUGUUGUUAGAGAAGAAUAAGGAUGAGAGUAACUGUUCAUCCCUUGACGGUAUCUAACCAGAAAGCCACGGCUAACUACGUGCCAGCAGCCGCGGUAAUACGUAGGUGGCAAGCGUUGUCCGGAUUUAUUGGGCGUAAAGCGAGCGCAGGCGGUUUCUUAAGUCUGAUGUGAAAGCCCCCGGCUCAACCGGGGAGGGUCAUUGGAAACUGGGAGACUUGAGUGCAGAAGAGGAGAGUGGAAUUCCAUGUGUAGCGGUGAAAUGCGUAGAUAUAUGGAGGAACACCAGUGGCGAAGGCGGCUCUCUGGUCUGUAACUGACGCUGAGGCUCGAAAGCGUGGGGAGCAAACAGGAUUAGAUACCCUGGUAGUCCACGCCGUAAACGAUGAGUGCUAAGUGUUGGAGGGUUUCCGCCCUUCAGUGCUGCAGCUAACGCAUUAAGCACUCCGCCUGGGGAGUACGACCGCAAGGUUGAAACUCAAAGGAAUUGACGGGGGCCCGCACAAGCGGUGGAGCAUGUGGUUUAAUUCGAAGCAACGCGAAGAACCUUACCAGGUCUUGACAUCCUUUGACCACUCUAGAGAUAGAGCUUCCCCUUCGGGGGCAAAGUGACAGGUGGUGCAUGGUUGUCGUCAGCUCGUGUCGUGAGAUGUUGGGUUAAGUCCCGCAACGAGCGCAACCCUUAUUGUUAGUUGCCAUCAUUCAGUUGGGCACUCUAGCAAGACUGCCGGUGACAAACCGGAGGAAGGUGGGGAUGACGUCAAAUCAUCAUGCCCCUUAUGACCUGGGCUACACACGUGCUACAAUGGGAAGUACAACGAGUCGCGAAGUCGCGAGGCUAAGCUAAUCUCUUAAAGCUUCUCUCAGUUCGGAUUGUAGGCUGCAACUCGCCUACAUGAAGCCGGAAUCGCUAGUAAUCGCGGAUCAGCACGCCGCGGUGAAUACGUUCCCGGGCCUUGUACACACCGCCCGUCACACCACGAGAGUUUGUAACACCCGAAGUCGGUGAGGUAACCUUUUGGAG